UCCUCCGUGGCGCAAUUGGCUAGCGCGUUCGACUGUUAAGCAUCCAUGUUCGGCGAUCGAGAGGUUGGUGGUUCAAGCCCACCCGGAGGAG